AUUGAACGCUGGCGGCAUGCCUUACACAUGCAAGUCGAACGGCAGCAUGAUCUAGCUUGCUAGAUUGAUGGCGAGUGGCGAACGGGUGAGUAAUACAUCGGAACGUGCCCUGUAGGUGGGGGAUAACUAGUCGAAAGAUUAGCUAAUACCGCAUACGACCUGAGGGUGAAAGUGGGGGACCGCAAGGCCUCAUGCUAUAGGAGCGGCCGAUGUCUGAUUAGCUAGUUGGUGAGGUAAGGCUCACCAAGGCGACGAUCAGUAGCUGGUCUGAGAGGACGAUCAGCCACACUGGGACUGAGACACGGCCCAG
rnacentral:rRNA from 1 species